UAGAGUGUNUCAGAGGGAGGUAGAAUUCCACGUGUAGCAGUGAAAUGCGUAGAGAUGUGGAGGAAUACCGAUGGCGAAGGCAGCCUCCUGGGAUAACACUGACGUUCAUGCCCGAAAGCGUGGGUAGCAAACAGGAUUAGAUACCCUGGUAGUCCACGCCCUAAACGAUGUCGAUUAGCUGUUGGGCAGCAUGACUGCUUAGUAGCGAAGCUAACGCGUGAAAUCGACCGCCUGGGGAGUACGGUCGCAAGAUUAAAACUCAAAGGAAUUGACGGGGACCCGCACAAGCGGUGGAUGAUGUGGAUUAAUUCGAUACAACGCGAAGAACCUUACCUGGUCUUGACAUGUACGGAACCCUCCAGAGACGGAGGAGUGCCUUCGGGAGCCGUAACACAGGUGCUGCAUGGCUGUCGUCAGCUCGUGUCGUGAGAUGUUGGGUUAAGUCCCGCAACGAGCGCAACCCUUGUCAUUAGUUGCCAUCAUUAAGUUGGGCACUCUAAUGAGACUGCCGGUGACAAGCCGGAGGAAGGUGGGGAUGACGUCAAGUCCUCAUGGCCCUUAUGACCAGGGCUUCACACGUCAUACAAUGGUCGGUACAGAGGGUAGCCAAGCCGCGAGGCGGAGCCAAUCUCACAAAACCGAUCGUAGUCCGGAUUGCACUCUGCAACUCGAGUGCAUGAAGUCGGAAUCGCUAGUAAUCGCAGGUCAGCAUACUGCGGUGAAUACGUUCCCGGGUCUUGUACACACCGCCCGUCACACCAUGGGAGUGGGGGAUACCAGAAGUAGGUAGGGUAACCGCAAGGAGCCCGC
rnacentral:rRNA from 1 species